rnacentral:rRNA from 1 species
UGCGUAGGCGGCUAUGUAAGUCAGAAGUGAAAGGUCCCGGCUUAACUGGGGAAUUGCUUUUGAUACUGCGUAGCUUGAAUAAGGUUGAGGUUAGCGGAAUGUGGCAUGUAGCGGUGAAAUGCAUAGAUAUGCCAUAGAACACCAAUUGCGAAGGCAGCUGGCUAGACCUUUAUUGACGCUGAGGCACGAAAGCGUGGGGAGCGAACA